UAGUGGCAGAGCAACAGAGAAACCCUGGAGUCUAGUGGAGAGAGAGUACUGGAAGCCCUCAGGAAGGGGACAGAAAUCUCUGCCAGCCCUGGAGAAACUCUUCCAUCUGGCCCAGAUGUUGCCAACAGAUGUUACCAGCAGCUGGCUCACUCUUAUGAGGAAGAAUAUGGAGGUUUUCGAGAGGCACCGAAGUUUCCUUCACCAGUGAACCUGAUGUUCCUGAUGUCAUUUUGGGCAGUAAAUCGUGCCAGCUCUGAGGGAGCAGAAGCACUGCGAAUGGUCCUUCACACUCUCCGAAUGAUGGCACUAGGGGGCAUUCAUGACCAUGUGGCACAGGGCUUUCACAGAUACUCCACAGACUCCUCCUGGCAUGUUCCUCACUUUGAAAAGAUGUUAUAUGAUCAAGGCCAGCUUGCUGUGACCUAUAUCACUGCUUACCAGGUGUGAAUAUAUUUG